rnacentral:rRNA from 1 species
AACGAACGCUGGCGGCAGGCCUAACACAUGCAAGUCGAGCGAGGACUUCGGUUCUAGCGGCGGACGGGUGAGUAACGCGUGGGAAUGUGCCCUUCUCUACGGAAUAGCCCUGGGAAACUGGGAGUAAUACCGUAUACGCCCUUUUGGGGAAAGAUUUAUCGGAGAAGGAUCAGCCCGCGUUGGAUUAGGUAGUUGGUGGGGUAAUGGCCUACCAAGCCGACGAUCCAUAGCUGGUUUGAGAGGAUGAUCAGCCACACUGGGACUGAGACACGGCCCAGACUCCUACGGGAGGCAGCAGUGGGGAAUCUUAGAAAAUGGGGGGAACCCUGAUCGAGCCAUGCCGCGUGAGUGAUGAAGGCCUUAGGGUUGUAAAGCUCUUUCAGCUGGGAAGAUAAUGACGGUACCAGCAGAAGAAGCCCCGGCUAACUCCGUG